rnacentral:tRNA from 1 species
GCCCAGCUAGCUCAGUCAGCAGAGCAUGAGACUCUUAAUCUCAUAGGUCAUAGGUUUGUGCCCCACGUUGGGUA